GUAUUAUAUGAAAGAAUAGAAGGUUAGCACUCCCCUUGACAAGGAUGGAAGAGGCCACGCGUCCUUGACAACACAUGUACAGGUACAAAGCCUACCUCAUGGCAUCUGUAACUAGGUUUUUUA